rnacentral:rRNA from 1 species
CCUACUGGAGGUAGCAGUGAGGAAUAUUGGUCAAUGGACGCAAGUCUGAACCAGCCAUGCCGCGUGCAGGCAGACGGCUCUCUGAGUUGUAAACUGCUUUUGUACGAGGGUAAACGCAGAUACGCGUAUCUGUCUGAAAGUAUCGUACGACUAAGGAUCGGCUAACUCCGUUCCCGCAGCCGCGGUAAUACGGAGGAUUCAAUUUUUAUCCGGAUUUAUUGGGUUUAAGGGGUGCGUAGGCGGUCGGAUAAGUUAGAGGUGAAAUCCCGAGGCUAAACUUCGGAAUUGCCUCUGAUACUGUUCGGCUAGAGAGUAGGUGCGGUAGGCGGAAUGUAUGGUGGAGCGGUGAAAUGCUUAGAGAUCAUACAGAACACCGAUUGCGAAGGCAGCGUACCAAGCUACUUCGGACGUUGAGGCACGAAAGCGUGGGGAGCAAACAGGAUUAGAUACCCUUGUAGUC